CGGCGGACGGGUGAGUAACACGUGGAUAACCUACCUAUAAGACUGGGAUAACUUCGGGAAACCGGAGCUAAUACCGGAUAAUAUUUUGAACCGCAUGGUUCAAUAGUGAAAGACGGUUUUGCUGUCACUUAUAGAUGGAUCCGCGCCGCAUUAGCUAGUUGGUAAGGUAACGGCUUACCAAGGCAACGAUGCGUAGCCGACCUGAGAGGGUGAUCGGCCACACUGAAACUGAGACACGGUCCAG
rnacentral:rRNA from 1 species